rnacentral:lncRNA from 1 species
CUAGUUCUCGAGUACUUUUGAAUCAAGAAAAGCCGGAAGAAGUGGAAAUCUGAAGCUGAACCCAACCCUUAAAAUUGUCAUCAUUCAAAGUCAAGGUUUCACUCUAUGUCUCAACGGGGCCACAAUCUCUCGAUCUUAUUCAAGAAGUCAUGUCUGAGUGGAAAGCCUUCAAAUUCGGGUGGGAAUUCUAAGAUCUGUUGCUUCUGCCCAUAUUAGCGGUAAAAUCUCGAAGGUGUGUAGAAGGUGGAUGCUCGUAGUCCGAGUAAGGGUAUGUAAUCACCGUA